GACGAACGCUGGCGGCGUGCUUAACACAUGCAAGUCGAACGGAAAGGCCCUGCUUUUGUGGGGUGCUCGAGUGGCGAACGGGUGAGUAACACGUGAGUAACCUGCCCUUGACUUUGGGAUAACUUCAGGAAACUGGGGCUAAUACCGGAUAGGAGCUCCUGCUGCAUGGUGGGGGUUGGAAAGUUUCGGCGGUUGGGGAUGGACUCGCGGCUUAUCAGCUUGUUGGUGGGGUAGUGGCUUACCAAGGCUUUGACGGGUAGCCGGCCUGAGAGGGUGACCGGCCACAUUGGGACUGAGAUACCGCCCAGACUCCUACGGGAGGCAGCAGUGGGGAAUAUUGCACCAUGGGCGGAAGCCUUAUGCAGCAACGCCGCGUGCGGGAUGACGGCCUUCGGGUUGUAAACCGCUUUCGCCUGUGACGAAGCGUGAGUGACGGUAAUGGGUAAAGAAGCACCGGCUAACUACGUG
rnacentral:rRNA from 1 species